GACGAACGCUGGCGGCGUGCCUAAUACAUGCAAGUAGAACGCUGAAGGAGGAGCUUGCUUCUCUGGAUGAGUUGCGAACGGGUGAGUAACGCGUAGGUAACCUGCCUGGUAGCGGGGGAUAACUAUUGGAAACGAUAGCUAAUACCGCAUAAGAGUAGAUGUUGCAUGACAUUUGCUUAAAAGGUGCAAUUGCAUCACUACCAGAUGGACCUGCGUUGUAUUAGCUAGUUGGUGAGGUAACGGCUCACCAAGGCAACGAUACAUAGCCGACCUGAGAGGGUGAUCGGCCACACUGGGACUGAGACACGGUCCAGACUCCUACGGGAGGCAGCAGUAGGGAAUCUUCGGCAAUGGACGGAAGUCUGACCGAGCAACGCCGCGUGAGUGAAGAAGGUUUUCGGAUCGUAAAGCUCUGUUGUAAGAGAAGAACGAGUGUGAGAGUGGAAAGUUCACACUGUGACGGUAUCUUACCAGAAAGGGACGGCUAACUACGUG
rnacentral:rRNA from 1 species